UACGUAGGGGGCAAGCGUUGUCCGGAUUUAUUGGGCGUAAAGAGCGUGUAGGCGGUUCGGUAGGUCCGUUGUGAAAACUCGAGGCUCAACCUCGAGACGCCGAUGGAAACCCUCGAACUAGAGUCCGGAAGAGGAGAGUGGAAUUCCUGGUGUAGCGGUGAAAUGCGCAGAUAUCAGGAGGAACACCGAUGGCGAAGGCGGUUCUCUGGGCCUUACCUGACGCUGAGGAGCGAAAGCGUGGGGAGCGAACAGG
rnacentral:rRNA from 1 species